CGCGUGUUCUGCUCAGGCCUGGUUUAUCUUCUCCGUCGGCGUGGGUGUGGGUUUGACCGAGUGUUCGUUCUCUUCGCGUGCAAGAUUUCGCCUCCAUUCCGGCCGAUUCGCGGUGCCUUUGCUCUUCGAUCUGCCGUUUUCUUUCUUUUCCCUGACGAAUCUUGCCUAUUCCCGUGCUAAUCACGCUUUUGUUUCCGCGAUUUAGGUCUGGACGGGCUGCUUCUUUGGUGGGAUCUUCUUCGCGUAUUCGUUCGGCCGGCGCGGCCGGCUGGUUUCCCUCAGGGCUCAGGUAACCGCUCCUCUUCGUGGCCCUCCUCUUUCACGCCAAACAGCUUCCAACGCCUGCCUAGAGAACCAUAGUUGUUUCGUAGUACGAUUUGGUGCAGCGCCGACCUAAAGUGAAGAUCCACGCCGCCCGGAAAAAUCAAGAGAGGCAGUCGCGACCAUGACGUGGCGCAAGCUCGAGGUCGCGUCAAUGGCGGCUCAAACCAACUUGCGCCAGAUCGGGCAAGUGGCCAUGACGAGCAGCAGUGAACGGCGUGUUCGUGGUGCUUCUUGCCGCCAGAAACGCCCUUGCCGACGUCCAGCACCGCCUCGACCUUGAGAGAUGAUCGACCUGAUGCGGACCCUCAUGACCGACGAUGACAAGGCCCAGCAAUUUCAAGCAGGAGGUCCCCGUCUCGCCAAUCCCCCAAUUCCCCAAGCUCAGUGCAAGAGUUCUGAUGGAUUUUGAACAAUUUCUCCCUUGGAAGUCUGUUCUUCCAUUUUCCAGAGUUUUCGGCAGACUUCAAUGAACUUCUCGAUUUUUGUGCCAUGAGGCUGUGAAUGAGCGUGGUGUGUCUCUGAGAAGAUACAGUGUCGAUUUCUUGGUUCCUGGUGUUGUUCCUGUUCUGUAUUUAGCCCCAGUAUUUUUGCACAACAUUUGUCUAGAGCUACACAAAAUCUCCGCAAGGUACAUUAGUUUGCUAUUCAGCAGAUUGCAACGUGAUGAGCUGAUGAGCUUCUACGUUCUGUUUGAAGAGUUGGCGCGUGUCUUAAUGUGGAGUGCACCUGAUAAAUUCAGUGUGGCUAUCUUGGUCUAGGAUGAUUUGUAAGAUGCACACAUGGUUUUAAGUUCAUUGCUUUCUCAUCAGGCCUGAUAAACUGUAAGCCAGGUUAUUUGUGGCAGCUCUCCGGUUAGUUGCAGCGCCUGAAAGAACUGUGUCUCCGAUGGCUUGCGGCCCCUGGGUGACCGCGGGGUGAAUUGAUCUUAGGUAGGGGGGUGAGGUUCUUCCUGCUUUUUUGGCUCCUUUUUUUCUUCGGCGGCAUCCUGGGUCGCUCCUGUUUUGAGCGGGGGCUGGGCGCUAUUCCGCCGGGGCGUCUUGGUGUGUUGUUGUCUGCCGCCACUGCUGCUUGAAGGUGCUGGUGGUGUUUGCUCCUUGGGACAACGAAGGUGGGGUUGGAGAGCCGAGCCUCUCCCAUGGUGGACUGGCUGGUAUUUUCGGCUCCUCCACUGUCGGGUCUAAGCAGGGAGCCCCUGGCUAGCAUGCCGUGGCUCGGGCUGUGGCUCGAUGGGGCUGCGCGGGAGGACAGACCUGGCGCUCCAAGGAAUUUCGAAUAUUUAUUUCUCGAUGGAUCGGAAUUAGCAUAUGGAGAGGCAAGUUCUUCUUCGUGUAAUGAGUACCAGAAGUUUAUCCAGAAGAUGAACCCUCCAAGGUGCCACCAUUUCCUCAAGACAUGUCAAUAUUAAUACUGCAAAGUCAUUUGUAUAGAAAUAGUACCAAGUGCUAACAGUGUGGUACACAUUUUGUAAUUCAGAAUCAUGAUUUACAGCACAUCAUAUGCAAUUGCCAUAGUUGAUCAUGUAGGUACCUGGCUACCUGCCAAGUGGACAAGUCUUUUAGUGUAUAAUUGUAUAUAUUGUUUGGUUGGUUACUGAAUACAGUGAGUUUUUUUUUUAAUUGUGUAGGUUGACAACGCAGACAAGUAAAAAACUCAUAUGGUUGCUAGGUAGUAGGAUGCUAUUUUUUCCUUACUGUUGACACAUAUAUGCGACCUACAUGUUUUACUUUUUUAUCAUAUGCAUAUGUUCAGGUAUUUUUCUAUCCAAGGAACAACAUAAUUUGUUUUGUUCCGCUUUUUUCUAUAAAAAUUAUGUUCGUUGUCUAGACUUAUCAAAGAAAUUCAGCAAUAGGCCCAUUCUCUUCCUUCCAUGAAUGUUUCUUUCUUACACUGGUCCAGCGAGUGAGUGAAUAUCUUGGAGAAGAUUUCUUACUUGAAUGUAUGUUUGGUGUUAGCCAUUGUUC